AUUGAACGCUGGCGGCAGGCCUAACACAUGCAAGUCGAGCGGAUGAGUGGAGCUUGCUCCAUGAUUCAGCGGCGGACGGGUGAGUAAUGCCUAGGAAUCUGCCUGGUAGUGGGGGACAACGUUUCGAAAGGAACGCUAAUACCGCAUACGUCCUACGGGAGAAAGUGGGGGAUCUUCGGACCUCACGCUAUCAGAUGAGCCUAGGUCGGAUUAGCUAAUUGGUGAGGUAAAGGCUCACCAAGGCGACGAUCCGUAACUGGUCUGAGAGGAUGAUCAGUCACACUGGAACUGAGACACGGUCCAGACUCCUACGGGAGGCAGCAGUGGGGAAUAUUGGACAAUGGGCGAAAGCCUGAUCCAGCCAUGCCGCGUGUGUGAAGAAGGUCUUCGGAUUGUAAAGCACUUUAAGUUUGGAGGAAGGGCAGUAAGUUAAUACCUUGCUGUCUUGACGUUACCAACAGAAUAAGCACCGGCUAACUUCGUGCCAGCCGCCGCCGUAACAC
rnacentral:rRNA from 1 species